CCUACGGGAGGCAGCAGUGAGGAAUAUUGGUCAAUGGGCGGAAGCCUGAACCAGCCAAGUAGCGUGCAGGAUGACGGCCCUACGGGUUGUAAACUGCUUUUAUACGGGAAUAACGCGCCUUACGUGUACGGCUUUGCAUGUACCGUAUGAAUAAGGACCGGCUAAUUCCGUUCCAGCAUCCGCGGUAAUACGGAAGGUCCGUGCGUUAUCCGGAUUUAUUGGGUGUAAAGGGAGCGUAGGCCGCAUGUCAAGCGAGCUGUGAAAUGUCCGGGCGCAACCCGGGCCGUGCAGCGCGAACUGGCGGGCUUGAGUCCUCGGAAGGCAGGCAGAAUUCGUCGUGUAGCGGUGAAAUGCUUAGAUAUGACGAAGAACCCCGAUUGCGAAGGCAGCUUGCUGCAGCGGAACUGACGCUGAUGCUCGAAAGCGCGGGUAUCGAACAGGAUUAGAUACCCGGGUAGUC
rnacentral:rRNA from 1 species